UGGGGAAUAUUGCACAAUGGGCGCAAGCCUGAUGCAGCCAUGCCGCGUGUAUGAAGAAGGCCUUCGGGUUGUAAAGUACUUUCAGUCGGGAGGAAGGUGGUAAGGUUAAUAACCUUAUCAAUUGACGUUACCGACAGAAGAAGCACCGGCUAACUCCGUGCCAGCAGCCGCGGUAAUACGGAGGGUGCAAGCGUUAAUCGGAAUUACUGGGCGUAAAGCGCUCGCAGGCGGUUGAUUGAGUCAGAUGUGAAAUCCCCGGGCUUAACCCGGGAAUUGCAUCUGAUACUGGUCAGCUAGAGUCUUGUAGAGGGGGGUAGAAUUCCAUGUGUAGCGGUGAAAUGCGUAGAGAUGUGGAGGAAUACCGGUGGCGAAGGCGGCCCCCUGGACGAAGACUGACGCUCAGGUGCGAAAGCGUGGGGAGCAAACAGG
rnacentral:rRNA from 1 species